AGCGCCGCGUGCGACCUCCGCGGGCCUGAGGCAGGGAGGGCCCGGAUUCGGUUCCCAGCCGGGUGUGGCGUGGGCGCGCGCAUCCGUGCGCUGGCUUGCGUUCGCCGCCAUUGUGAAUAAUGCUGCUCUGAAGAUUGGAAUGAAAUCCUAUGGGCUGUAUCUUCAAGAUUAGAUUCAGAAGUCCCAGCUACUCCGGAGGCUGAGGUGGGAGGAUUGCUUGAGCCAAGGAGUUGAAGGUUACAGUGAGCUAUUGAUGCACCAUUGCGCUCCAGCCUGGAGGACAGAGCAAGACCCUGUCUGUAAAAAAACAAAAAACCCAAACAAACAUACAAGCAAACAAAGAAAAAGAUAAGAAAAGAAAUAUGCCCUGAGUCUGUCCUCCUCCACAAUUAUCACCCUGCAGGAAACCACCACCACCUCUCGCUGGGUCACUGCAGCUGACCUCACGGGCUGGGCACCCCACGUCUACUUCUCCUCCCUCCAGUCUGUUCCCAGCACAGCAGCCAGAGUGUUUUCAAAAGGCAAGGCUCCUCCUCUGCUCGAAAUCCUCCAAUCAGCACAGUAAAAUUGACAGUUAUUGCUGUAUCUUUUAAGAUCUUUUGAGGACCUCAAACCUGCACCCUCCCCUGUGAGAGCUUUGGCAUUGCUGUUCCUUUUCCCUGGAAAACUCUUUUCCACUUUCUCACAUGCCAAUGCCACCAUCUCAAUAAGGCCUUCCAUGACUAUUCUUUAUAAAAUAGUGACUUCUCCAGGCCCCAACUCCCCCACCUCCUAUAUUAUGCUUUAUUUUCUCUAUCACACUUAUUAUCCUCUGACAUCCUUCAUAUUUACUUGUUCAUCUGUUGUGUUUUCCCCCACUGGAAGGUAAGCUCCAUGGGUACAGGAAUGUGGUUUAUUGUGUUGAUUGCUGCAAUCCUGGAAGCCAACUACAGCCUGGCAAAUAGUACAUACGCUGUCAAUAAAUUAAUGCUGAAUGGAUGAAGAAAUCACAAAUAAUUCUGCCUUCUGGUGUAUACACUAAAAUGUAAAUCUGCAAAAUAUAUAUUCAGGAACAGGACAGGCUGACCUUCAGAAAGUUGUUAUUUGAUGUACACAUGUUAGAUUGUGGAGAUUGUCCCAAAGAUAAUACAUUUCAUUUUAAUACAGAAUAGUUAAUUAUUUUUUUCUGGCAGUAGUUAGAGAAUCAGACCGUUUGUUUAUUGCUGCCACUUCUGUGUGGGGUCCAAUCAGGAAUUUUAUUAUACUAUCAUUCACUGAUGGAGUGGUGGAGAAUAGAGGAGGGAAAGGGUUGUCAAAGCAUAAUUUCUUUAAAAUAAAAAUAUACUCAGACAAAUAUAGAGUGAACACACAUCAAAGAUUUAUUAAACUUGUUAACAAAGGAGUCAGCAAGAUGAGAAACCUGGUGCCAAGAUCAUUUGAAGAAGUUUUAGGCACUAAAGAAAGAAUGUUGAAUGCCAGGUUAUACAGAAACCUGGUUAAUAUCAUACAGGCCAAUAAAACCAUAACUUUAUGGUUAUCUUUUCUAUAGUACAGAAUUAUUUGUGUCCCUACCUGAUGAAAAUCUAUGAGUUACCAUCUAACCUCACAGUGUCUGGGCCCCUGUUAAUAAUAAAUAACAAGUCACACAAAGGUAUGUCUACCGUGUU